rnacentral:rRNA from 1 species
GUCUACAGCCAUACCACCCAGAAGGUACCCAAUCUCAUCUGAUCUGGGAAACUAGGCAGGGUUGAGCUUGGUUAGUACUUGGAUGGGAGAAAUACAUGCUCAAGUAUUUUGGGGA